UACAGAGGUGCCAAGCGUUGUUCGGAUUUAUUGGGCGUAAAGGGUGCGUAGGCGGUUGUGUAAGUCGGGUGUGAAAUUUCGGAGCCUAACUCCGAAACUGCAUUCGAUACUGCCGUGCUUGAGGACUGGAGAGGAGACUGGAAUUUACGGUGUAGCAGUGAAAUGCGUAGAGAUCGUAAGGAAGGCCAGUGGCGAAGGCGGCAUCCUGGACCGACAUUGACGCUGAGGAGCGAAAGCUAGGGGAGCAAACGGG
rnacentral:rRNA from 1 species